UGCUUUGAUGCCUCUCACUUCACGGUACAGAAAAAAACAGCCGUGAUGGAUUUUUCGAAAAAAUAUCGUAGUUGUGCCGGUGAUGAUUCUUGCGAAGACUCUGCUUACUAAAUAAGCCAAAAACAUUUUCUCCCCUUUUCCGAACGGACAAAAAGAGCUUUGGAUCAGGUUCGUGAUUGGGUACACGGAGUACUCGGCGGAACGGACGGAGACUGGUGGUUGAUGGGGACGAACGCGGAUUCCUUGCUAUAGACCAAGGUUGAAAAUGCCGCAAAAGUUUGCGACAAUCUGUUGGUGCAGUCGGCGGAUUUUGCAAUGGAAAUGACAUCUCGGUACUGGCACCGGUCAACCGACGAAACUAACCUGCACGUGGUCGUUAAGCCUGGUGGCAAGAUGGAGUCAGGGCUCAAACACGAAGAUGAACCAACGAAACACGCAAUAUUUGAAUUGAUCGGCUGGGAUCUCGCCAAGGUCUCCCAAGAUAAAUGCAUCAAGCUGAGGGACACUCCGCUAAUCAACACCUCGGUGACGCAGAUUGAUUCAAACAAUCAAGAGAUUGCAAGUGCGAAUCAAGCGCGAGUGUUUCUAAGUUAGCUAUCGGUUCCCUGCGU